rnacentral:rRNA from 1 species
ACGAGUCCUCAACUGACGCUAAUGCUCGAAGGUGCGGGUAUCGAACAGGAUUAGAUACCCUGGUAGUCCGCACGGUAAACGAUGGAUGCCCGCUGUUGGCGAUACAGUGUCAGCGGCCAAGCGAAAGCGUUAAGCAUCCCACCUGGGGAGUACGCCGGCAACGGUGAAACUCAAAGGAAUUGACGGGGGCCCGCACAAGCGGAGGAACAUGUGGUUUAAUUCGAUGAUACGCGAGGAACCUUACCCGGGCUUGAACUGCAGGGGAACGAUCCAGAGAUGGUGAGGUCAGCAAUGACCCCUGUGGAGGUGCUGCAUGGUUGUCGUCAGCUCGUGCCGUGAGGUGUCGGCUUAAGUGCCAUAACGAGCGCAACCCCUGCGCGUAGUUGCCAUCAGGUCAUGCUGGGCACUCUGCGCGGACUGCCACCGUAAGGUGUGAGGAAGGUGGGGAUGACGUCAAAUCAGCACGGCCCUUACGUCCGGGGCUACACACGUGUUACAAUGGGUGGUACAGAGAGCUGGGCGCCGGCAACGUCGCCCGAAUCGUGAAAGCCAUCCUCAGUUCGGACUGGGGUCUGCAACCCGAUCCCACGAAGCUGGAUUC